CGGUAAUUCCAGCUCCAAUAGCGUAUACUAAAGUUGUUGCAGUUAAAAAGCUCGUAGUUGGAUUUCUGUGGGGACGGAGCGGCCGGACGCAACUUGCGUCUCGAGCUAGCGCUUUCCCCACAUCCUGCCGCGAACCGUGCUACCAUUAGCUUGGUGGCGCUGGGGAUCGGCUCGAUUACUUUGAGAAAAAUAGAGUGUUCAAAGCAGGCCACACGCCUUGAAUAAGUUAGCAUGGAAUAAUGACUAAGGACUUUGGUUCUUUUCGUUGGUGUUCGGGACUGAAGUAAUGAUUGAUAGGGACAGUUGGGGCGGUCCGUAUUCCAAAGCGAGAGGUGAAAUUCCUAGACCUUCGGAAGACGAACAGCUGCGAAAGCGUUCCGCAAGGAUGUUCCCUUUGAUCAAGAACGAAAGUUGGGGGAUCGAAGACGAUCAGAUACCGUCGUAGUCUCAACUAUAAACUAUACCAGCUAGGGAUCGGCCAACGUUUAAUUAUUCGACUUGGUCGGCACCUUAUGAGAAAUCAAAGCAUCUGGGUUCCGGGGGGAGUAUGGUCGCAAGGCUGAAACUUAAAGGAAUUGACGGAAGGGCACCACCAGGCGUGGAGCCUGUGGCUUAAUUUGACUCAACACGGGAAAACUUACCAGGUCCAGACAUAGGAAGGAUUGACAGAUUGAUAGCUCUUUCUUGAUUCUGUGGGUGGUGGUGCAUGGCCGUUUUUAGUCGGUGAAGUGAUUUGUCUGCUUAAUUGCGUUAACGGACGAGACCCCAGCCUGCUAAAUAGCGCGGCUGAGCUUUGCUCGGUACGAGCUUCUUAGAGGGACCAUGAUGCGCGAUAGCACAAGGAAGUUUGGGGCAACAACAGGUCUGUGAUGCCCUUAGAUGUUCUGGGCCGCACACGGGCUACACUGGCGCCUGCAACGAGCAUAUCAGCUGGCCCGAGAGGGUCUUGGCUAAUCUUUGGAACCGGCGCCGUGCUUGGGAUUGACCAUUGCAAUUGUUGGUCAUGCAACGAGGAAUGCCUUGUAAACGCGAGUCAUCAGCUCGCAUUGAAUACGUCCCUGCUCCUUGUACACACCGCCC
rnacentral:rRNA from 1 species